GAUGAACGCUGGCGGCGUGCCUAAUACAUGCAAGUCGAGCGAACAGACGAGGAGCUUGCUCCUCUGACGUUAGCGGCGGACGGGUGAGUAACACGUGGAUAACCUACCUAUAAGACUGGGAUAACUUCGGGAAACCGGAGCUAAUACCGGAUAAUAUAUUGAACCGCAUGGUUCAAUAGUGAAAGACGGCUGUGCUGUCACUUAUAGAUGGAUCCGCGCCGCAUUAGCUAGUUGGUAAGGUAACGGCUUACCAAGGCAACGAUGCGUAACCGACCUGAGAGAGUGAUCGGCCACACUGGAACUGAGACACGGUCCAGACUCCUACGAGAGGCAGCAGUAGGGAAUCUUCCGCAAUGGGCGAAAGCCUGACGGAGCAACGCCGCGUGAGUGAUGAAGGUCUUCGGAUCGUAAAACUCUGUUAUUAGGGAAGAACAAAUGUGUAAGUAACUAUGCACGUCUUGACGGUACCUAAUCAGAAAGCCACGGCUAACUACGUG
rnacentral:rRNA from 1 species